GCUUACGGCCACACCGCCUGGUUCACGCCUGAUCUCGGAAGCUAAGAUAGGUUUGGCCUGGUUAGUACUUGGAUGGGAGACCGCCUGGGAAUACCAGGUACUGCAAGCU
ensembl:rRNA 5S_rRNA 5S ribosomal RNA